rnacentral:rRNA from 1 species
GUGAGGAAUAUUGCGCAAUGGAGGCAACUCUGACGCAGCCAUGCCGCGUGCAGGAAGAAGGCGCUACGCGUUGUAAACUGCUUUUAACCGGGAAGAAACCCCAGGACGUGUCCUGGGUUGACGGUACCGGAGGAAUAAGCGCCGGCUAACUUCGUGCCAGCAGCCGCGGUAAUACGAAGGGUGCAAGCGUUAUCCGGAUUCAUUGGGUUUAAAGGGUGCGUAGGCGGAGCGUUAAGUCAGUGGUGAAAUCCUGCAGCUUAACUGUAGACUUGCCAUUGAUACUGGCGCUCUUGAGUGCGCUUGAAGUGGGCGGAAUGUGCCGUGUAGCGGUGAAAUGCUUAGAUAUGGCACAGAACACCAAUUGCGAAGGCAGCUCACUAAGGCGAUACUGACGCUGAGGCACGAAAGCGUGGGGAUCGAACAGGAUUAGAAACCCUAGUAGUCC